AACUUUCCUAGGUUUUAGACCUCUCAACAACAGCCUAUUUCAGCAGCCAUUUGCACUGACCCAGAUUUUCUCUUUUGCAAAACCUUCUAGCAUUUCUCGAAUUCUUCUGGUCCUUUUUGUUUCCGAUAUGUGUGUUUACUUGAGGGGGAAAAAACAAAAAAAUCUGCUAAGCUCAGAUAAGACUUCCUUUGAGAGAAAAAAAGGGUGAAUAAAUUAGAGGUUUAGCGGCAGUUUACUGCAAGUUCAGACACAAUACCAGCUUCACCCUCCAGUGGACGCACCUUGUUGAGAUCAAAAUCUUGAAUUCUAUGAUAUUUAUAGGUUAUUUCUUUGAUUUCGUCAUCUACUUCGACAAUAGCAAUCGAAAAGUCUUUCAUUUCCAGAAUUUGCAAACGAAGAUUGAUUAAUGGAAUUUAUGGUUGGCCCUACGACUCCCCAGUGCUUGGUGAGUUUGAAAGAACUUGCCCCAGGUGAUGCACCUAUACUUAUUGUGAAGAGGCUUCGUAGUCAAUGGACCAGCACAUUUCAGGGAUUCAACUUUCAAGAUCACUAAAUCUCAACUUUUUUCUUCUUUUCUUAUUCUUGAUUGUCGUUUUUUGCAUUAGUACUCUCACAAUAUUUGUGCGUUCUUCAAUGCUAGCUGAUUUUUGAUGAAAACUCCCAAUUCUUCCCUUUCUGCAUUAUCAAUCAAACUGCAGUUGCUAAUUUACAAACCUUCUUUGCUUAACAGAAACCUUUUCCUCGUUUGGAUUCUUCGAUUAAUAAACCUGAUUAGUAUCCCCAAUUUCACUCUUAUAUAUUAGUGGCCUCUAAUUUGAACAAGAACCAUUGCUUUGGUUCUGACUCUAGAACUAAGAAUUGAACUCAAUUUUUAUUUUUUAUUUUUUAAUAUUUCUUUUCUUGGUUAUUUCCAGCAGUUAGUUAAUCUUAGUUAUUUUUAAUGAUUUUUUUUUUCACCGCUCCUAAUUAUUACUCUCAAUUUUCAACCUUAUAUUUCAGUUUCAUAUUUCAUUCGUUUGAUGGCAUCGUGUAAAGAAAUUGAUUGGGUGGAGAAAGUGAUUGGAACUUGAUAUUAUUUUUUGUUGGUGAUUUAUUUGUCUACAUUAGUGAAUCAUUAUUAUUAGACUAUUUUGUAUGGGGAUGGAACUUGAUGUUUGUGUAUUCAAAUUUUGAUUAAGUUUUGUUUGUUGUUUGGACUUUUGUGAAUAAAUUUUAUUGAAUGAU
rnacentral:lncRNA from 1 species